rnacentral:rRNA from 1 species
UCCUACGGGACGCAGCAGUGGGGAAUAUUGCACAAUGGGGGAAUCCCUGAUGCAGCAACGCCGCGUGAGUGAAGAAGUAUUUCGGUAUGUAAAGCUCUAUCCGUAGGGAAGAAGAAAGACGGUACCUGACUAAGAAGCCCCGGCUAACUACGUGCCAGCAGCCGCGGUAAUACGUAGGGGGCAAGCGUUAUCCGGAUUUACUGGGUGUAAAGGGAGCGUAGACGGCAUAGCAAGUCUGAAGUGAAAGCCCGUGGCUCAACCGCGGCACUGCUUUGGACACUGUUAAGCUGUAGUACUGGAGAGGG